UACGGGGGGAGCAAGCGUUGUUCGGAUUUACUAGGCGUAAAGGGCGCGUAGGCGGCGCAACAAGUCACUUGUGAAAUCUCCGGGCUUAACCCGGAACGGUCAGCCGAUACUGCAGGGCUAGAGUGCAGAAGGGGCAACUGGGAAUUCUCGGUGUAGCGGUGAAAUGCGUAGAUAUCGAGAGGAACACCUGCGGCGAAGGCGGGUUGCUGGGCUGACACGUGACGCUGGAGGCGCGAAAGCUAGGGGAGCGAACGGG
rnacentral:rRNA from 1 species